rnacentral:rRNA from 1 species
GACGAACGCUGGCGGCGUGCUUAACACAUGCAAGUCGAACGGAAAGGCCCCUUUGGGGGUACUCGAGUGGCGAACGGGUGCGUAACACGUGAGUAACCUGCCCUUGCCUUCGGGAUAACUUCAGGAAACUGGGGCUAAUACCGGAUCGGAAUCCUUGCUGCAUGGUGGGGGUUGGAAAGCUUCGGCGGUUUUUGCUGGACUCUCGGCGUAUCUGCUUGUUGGGGGGGUAGUGGGUUACCAAGGCUUUGACGGGUAGCCGGCCUGUGAGGGCGACCGGCGACAUUGGGACUGAGAUACGGCCCAGACACCGACGGGAGGCAGAAGGGGGGAAGAUUGAACAAUGGGCGGAAGCCUGAUGCAGCAACGCCGCGGGCGGGAUGACGGUCUUCGGGUUGAAAACCGCAUUCAGCAGGGGCGAAGCUUGUGGUGACGGUACCUGCAGAAGAAGCACCGGCUAACUACGUG